CGCCCUCUUUUGUUCGAAAGUGACUUCUACGUGUAAAACAUAUGGGGCUCUAAAGCGAGUACAUUUGUCACGAUUCUGAUCCCAGUCGGAGUGAACAGUGUGUCUAAUCUCUCACAAAAUCAUGAAAGACACGUAGGAAGUCGGUGGCCAUCAUUUUGUUUAUUCAUCGCAUUCGACUUCAAGCCCUGAUCAACAAUUUUGUGCCUCAACGUUAGAGAUCUUCUUCAAGGAAUCGACCAUGCCAUGUACCCAUUUUCAAGAGAUCAGUUCUGAGUGGAUAGAAGAUGGAUGACUCGGAGCAUAUCCUGCAAAAUGUCCAUUUUGUACACAGAGUACAGAGUACACAGAGCCGUUCUUACCAAACAGCAUAAGGCCUGUCAUCUGGUAGUUCUGUCUUCAAGCCGUCACUCUUCGUCUUAUCAAGUGGUGUUAAACUUAGUGCUCAGCUUUACAGGCCAAACUUAUCUGCAAUCACAGAUGUGUGCUUCCCUUGUUCCAAGUUAUCGCAGUUGACCAGUAUUUGAAAACUUCUUGGGUGAUAUUCUGAGCAUGAUUUUAUCUCUAAAAUCUUUUUAGUACCGUAUGUGUAUAGUAACUUCCGGUAGUUCACGGAAUCAAAUCAAAUCCGUUAUUUUACCACUAUCCAUAUUACUGUAUAAGAAGUCACUAACAUAUGCCAAUGCAGUAUUAGUGGAAUAACCCUUCCGGAAACAUGAAUUGGUAAGAGUAAGCAAGUCCGAAUCCAACAAAUAGUCAUGUAAACUAGGUGUGCACAGUCUUUUCUAAACACCUUCAUGAUUGUUGGUAGAAUCGUUAUCAGAUGAUAUUCACAUCUGUAUACUGUAUAAUUGUAUUCCAUUGUCUGUGUUCCCACAUUUGUGAAUGGGGGUAAUCCUGGCCUGCUUCCAUUCUUCAGGAAUUACUCCUAAUUAGAGAGAUAGAUUAAAAAGUUUGGUGAUUGUUUUUUUGUUGAUAGGUGCAGCCAAUUUUAAUAACCUAUAAUUAAAGGAAACCUCACCCCAAAGAAUAAG